GACGUAGGGUGCGAGCGUUGUCCGGAUUUAUUGGGCGUAAAGGGUGCGUAGGCGGCGCGGUAAGUCGGGUGUGAAAUCUCGGGGCUUAACUCCGAAACUGCAUUCGAUACUGCCGUGAUUGAGGACUGGAGAGGAGACUGGAAUUUACGGUGUAGCGGUGAAAUGCGUAGAUAUCAGGAAGAACACCCGUGGCGAAGGCGGCUCUCUGGAACGCAACUGACGCUGAGACGCGAAAGCGUGGGGAGCAAACAGG
rnacentral:rRNA from 1 species